GGGUCAGUAGGUUGGUCGUGCCACCGGUACGUACUGGUCUCACUGAUUCCUCCUUCCUGAAGAACCGUAAUGCCAUUAAUUUGGUGUUGCGGGGAAACAGGACUGUUACUUUGGAGAAAUUAGAGUGUUUAAAGCAAGCUAACGCUUGAAUACAUUAGCAUGGAAUAAUGAAAUAGGACGAUCGAUCCUAUUUUGUUGGUUUCUAGGAUUGACGUA
rnacentral:rRNA from 1 species